AAAUAAUUAAUAAUUAUUAGGGAGAGAAUUUAGUUUACUUAGAAAAAAACAAACUUGAGUGUAGAACAUAGCGAAGACAUGUUUAAUAAUGAAAAUAAAUUCAUAAGAUAAAUUCAUAAGAUAAUUAUUAGGGGACGCACAUUGGGGUAGGACUAUGUAGUUAUAGUUAUGGUGGUAGGACUAUUCGAAAGCUUUUUUGCUUUGCUUUGGCCCUAGCAAUUAGGUAUAAUUAGGUAUAACUCCACAUUGGCACUUCUUAAAUUUAGCCAAAAAAAAUUAAUUCAAACUUCUUCUUCCUCUUCUUCUUCCUCUUGGUUCACCGCCUUGGUUUACUUUGGUCGAGUUGUGACCCCACCUAAUUUAGCCGCACUGCUUAAAUCCCCACCCCAAGCUAUAACAAAUUCCAAGCCACCAAUAGCAAAUUGAGAAAUUAUUAAACUAGUUUACUAACUAGGCAUUACCCCCAAUCCCAAAACUCACCAAAGCUCACCAUGAACCAUGAACUAACCCUCCACUAACCCUUCAGCUCAUACAAAUUUUUUUAAUAAGAUAAUGAUGAUCAAAAUAAAUGGUCUCAAGCUCUUCUUUUUCCCUUUACUUGUUUAAUCAAAAUAAAAGUUUUUUUCAAAAAGGAAAUCCCAAUCCUUGGCACUUACAACAUUGACAUGGUUACUCUCCUUAAAUUUAUCCAAAAAAAAUUAAUUCAAAAUAGUUUACUUAUUCUUCUCUUAUUUACUUUCUUAUUUUCCUCCCCUUAUUAAUCAAAAUAAAUUCAUCAUAUAAAAAAAAUUAAAUAAUUGAUUAGGAAAAGAAGAAGAUUAAUCAACAGUAGAUUAAUCAAACAAUAGAUUAAUCUAAUCAAAUAAAGAGAAACUAUGAAUGAUAAGUUACCGAUUUUUUUUUUUUACCAAUCUUUCCUAUGAAAGCUUGAAAUUGUCUAUAUUUAGUGUGCUCUUAGUUUAGUUUGUCUAUAUUUAGUGUGCUCUUAGUUUAGUUUGUCUAUAUUUAGUGUGCUCUUAAUUUAGUUUAUUUUUCGGUUUAAUCAAUCCACUUUAAACUUGGGAAAUGCUUACCCGCAACCAACCAUUUUGAAGUAGAGCCUAGGGAAUAACUUUGAUUUUCCC
rnacentral:lncRNA from 1 species